UCUAUUAAUCUUUACAUUGAUUAUUAUUCCCCAUCCCAUGCUGCUUUGCCUUCGUUCUUCUCUCCAAGUUUCAGUGCUUUCUCCUUGUUCAUCUUCUGCCGAGAACGGCCUCCUUUCGAUACCCUUCCUUCUCUCAGAAACUUGCCAUCUUCAGCGCUCCGUAAGGCAAUAGCCCUAACUCUCAUCGACCACUUUCACAGUUCGAUUGCUUUGGUUUUAACUGUGUGCACAGCCCGAAGAAUUUCGCGUUGGAGUUUUCGUUUCGUCGCCGGCGCCGUUGAAUGGAACGUUUGACCUUUAACAAAGAUGGGUUUCAAAAUGGAGCUCAUCGCCCUUCAUUGUCGUCUUCUUCUUCUCAGAGAGAUGUUAGCUACAGCUGCGGCUCUUGUGGUUAUGGCCUAAACCUAAGCUCCUCCAACCGAAACAUCUCAACAGUUGGUUCAAAAUAUGGGAAAUCUAUAAAGCGGGGGAUCAUAUCGUUCUUCUCCAUUGACGAUAGCAGAUUUUCUCAGAUUGACGAGAUUCAAUGUGUUCCUCAUUUCUCCAAGAAUUCAUGGGGUUUGUUCCGUCGAAGAAUCAAGCUUCAUUGUCGCAAAUGCAAUAACUAUAUUGGAGUUGCAUACGAUGAUUAUACAUCUUCUCAACCUGGUGCUUCAGAGCAUACUGAUUCAUCUUCAGGCCAUGGCCAUGAAGUUUCAAAACGAAGAAAGUAUGAUAUCCGAAUCCGUGCUUUACAGCCUAUAUCCUCUGAAGAGUCUGCUUUGUAGCUUGACAUAUUGGGACAAGCUUCAUUUUGUUUUUUUGGUUUUUGGAUUUUGGGUAAUGAGGCAGCCAGUAGCAACAGCGAGGUUUUGAUGGCAAUGGGAGUAAUUAUAGCUUAAAAGUUGAUUAUAUACCCUAUGAAACUAGAGCGAAUGUUUUAGCAGCAUGUUGUCAAUUUGCGAAAUCAAAAUUUCCCAGUAAGGUACUGGCCUCUCUCUUAGGUUCCAAGUAAUAUGAGGGUGUUAGGCACUUGUGAUGCUUGUCAAGUAUACACUUACAUUCAAAUCAGUAACUUGUUGUUAAAGAGUUCAUAAACCUCUUGAUUCUUUCCCCUUCGCAAGGAUAGCUUAAUCCUUUGAAAUAAGGUGAGUAAGGUCGAUAUUGGAUUCAGAGAUGUUAUUUAGAUCGUAUUGGUCGAAACACAUUUAUCAUCUGUCUAUUCAUUGUUCAUGUUGUGCCGAUCUAGAUACAAUCACUGAUCGUGUCAUGUCAGUUCCAGUAUAUUUACUAAUUGUAUCGUU